rnacentral:rRNA from 1 species
UACGGGGGGGGCAAGCGUUGUUCGGAAUUACUGGGCGUAAAGGGCUCGUAGGCGGCCAACUAAGUCGGAUGUGAAAUCCCCAGGCUCAACUUGGGAACUGCGUCUGAUACUGGAUGGCUUGAGUUUGGGAGAGGGACGCGGAAUUCCUGGUGUAGCGGUGAAAUGCGCAGAUAUCAGGAGGAACACCGAUUGCGAAGGCAGCUCGCUGGGACGUCACUGACGCUGAGACGCGAAAGCGUGGGGAGCAAACAGG